AUGCCGGCGCGCAGCUCUUACUUCGUGCGACAGAUAAGAAUACUGCGUCGAGUAUUCGUGUUUCUCAUUGUAAAUUCGGUAUAUUGCGGUAUAUUUUAUUGAAUUAAGUGUUAAUUAACGUGUUUGAUAAUUCGGUAAAUAUUUAUCGCGUAUGUAAUCUUCGGAAUUGAAUAUUUUGUGUGUUUAUUACAUUUUCGCGUGGAUUUCUGAUCGGUUGUCGUCGGACGCCGGCCGGCAGACUUUGUGUGUGAUUAUAAAUAAUAUUUUGGACUUCUGCGAACUAUUUUUGACUUCGGCACAACUCGCUCAAUGGCUCAAUGUGUUACCUGGUACGAAUACUAAUUUAAAUAAUUAUGGAGAACAAGACGAAAUUUAUGGUAAACAUAUUUCAGUAUCAACUCACAUUUGAUUUGCGGUGUUCGAUACAGUGCGUACUUGCCGUAUUCUUGCAAUCCGAGGAGCGCUGCAUUGUUACAGCAUUCGUUGUGCCUGGCAGUCCGAUAAGCUGUACACUGAUCUCAAGGAGUUGAACGUGACCUCGGUGUACAAUCGUGCCCGCAUUCAAUUGUAAGUAUUGAAAUUCUUAUCAUUUUCAUAUUGGCCCUGUUCACGUAGCCUGCUAUAUCUUUUCCUUGUUUAGUCGAUCGUGCGAUGUUGUUCAGUACACACGUGCUUUGUUCACAAGUCGAUCUUCGUAACUAGUUUGCGCGUUUCUUGUGAUUUUAAGUCGGUAGUUGAAUUAGAAUCGAUCAGCAAAGAUAAUAUUUAGAAUUAACGGACUAGUACGGCGUGCAGUUAAUGAAUCGCGCGUGGAAGUCAGAAUUGUGUAGUUUUACAAUGUGCGCACGUUUUUGCCGUCUACCGUCGGAUAUCUUACGUUGGCUAAGAAGUCCGUCCCAGUGGUUUUAUUUGCGUAAUGAUAUUAAUUUGUGAAACUAAACACUGUUUGUCCCCGUGUGGAACAUUUUAACCGAGAAAGUGCACGUAGGUAAUUGUAACAUUAACAUUCGAUGAAUUAAACAAUUAGUGAAGAUGUUUCAUGGACGAAAUAAAUUUAUCAGACGUUAAGGAAAAGCGAGGUAACCGUUGUAUAAGUAAAUACUCUAAAAAUAAUUCAAUUUUAACAAAUAAUUUUAAAAUUCAACAUGUACUCUUGUGAUUGUAUGAGUUGCAAUAAACUAUACUUUUAAUAU